rnacentral:rRNA from 1 species
UACGGGGGGGGCAAGCGUUGUUCGGAAUUACUGGGCGUAAAGGGCUCGUAGGCGGCCAACUAAGUCAGACGUGAAAUCCCUCGGCUUAACCGGGGAACUGCAUCUGAUACUGGAUGGCUUGAGAUUGGGAGAGGGAAGUGGAACUCUCGGUGUAGGGGUGAAAUCUGUAGAUAUCGAGAGGAACACCGGUGGCGAAGGCGGCUUCCUGGCCCGUAACUGACGCUGAGGCGCGAAAGCGUGGGGAGCAAACAGG